AGAGAGAGACAUGCGCGCAUAUCAAUAAGCGGAGGAAAAGAAACUAACAAGGAUUCCCCUAGUAACGGCGAGUGAAGCGGGAAGAGCUCAAAUUUGAAAUCUUAAAGGGUUUCCCUUUACGAAUUGUAGUUUAAAGAAGUGUUUUCUGUUGAGGUUUUGGUAAAAGUUCUUUGGAAUAGGACAUCAUAGAGGGUGAGAAUCCCGUAUUUGACCUUUACUUUCAACUUUGUGAUACACUUUCAAAGAGUCGGAUUGUUUGGGAAUGCAGUCCAAAAUGGGUGGUAAAUUUCAUCUAAAGCUAAAUAUUGGCGAGAGACCGAUAGCGAACAAGUACCGUGAGGGAAAGAUGAAAAGAACUUUGAAAAGAGAGUUAAACAGUACGUGAAAUUGUCAAAAGGGAAGCGUUUGACACCAGUGUUGUUUUUCUGAAAAUCAAUUAAAGAACUGUUUAUGCUAAGCUGUUUAGACUUUAUCAGCUAAUCUGUUUAGUUUUGAGCUUUUCUUUAAUGCACUUUUCAGUUAACAAGUCAACAUCAAUUUCUUUUGCUGUAAAAAAGCUUGAGGAAGGUGGCUUGAGAUUCGUCUUAAGUGUUUAUAGCCUCUUGCCUAUGCAGUCGGAGAGAUUGAGGUCUGCAGCGUAGAUCCUUCGGGGCUAAAUGCAUUUGUGCUAAGUUAUAGCAUUUUAUAGACAACUUGUUGACUAUGAUUUGUCUCGUAGCUUACUCGCUUAUGUUAUUUUACCUACGCUUAGGAUGUUGACGCAUGAGAUAUACGC
rnacentral:rRNA from 1 species